rnacentral:rRNA from 1 species
UACGAAGGGGGCUAGCGUUGCUCGGAAUCACUGGGCGUAAAGGGUGCGUAGGCGGGUCUUUAAGUCAGGGGUGGAAUCCUGGAGCUCAACUCCAGAACUGCCUUUGAUACUGAGGAUCUUGAGUAUGGGAGAGGUGAGUGGAACUGCGAGUGUAGAGGUGAAAUUCGUAGAUAUUCGCAAGAACACCAGUGGCGAAGGCGGCUCACUGGCCCAUAACUGACGCUGAGGCACGAAAGCGUGGGGAGCAAACAGG